CCCUGUGGCGAUAGCGCGUUGAAUACACCAGUUCCUAAUGGAUCGCAGAAGUUAAACAAGUUUGCGCACGGUUGGUAUCUGGAUGGGUGACCAUCUGGGCAAUUGCAUGCUAAAGACA
rnacentral:rRNA from 1 species